CUCUGCCUCUCCCCUGCUUGUACUCUCUCUCUCUCUCAAAAUAAAUAAGUAAACUUAAAAAAAAAGUUUAUAAGAUCUCUGCCCCCAGCAAAGUGCAAAAUUAAAGACUCUUUAAACACAACUUGCCAGACCUUCUCAUCUUCCUUUCUUCACUCCCUCCCUUCCCUCCUCUCCUCUUCCUCCUCCUCCUUCCGUUGUCUACACACACCAAUGUUAGUCGUUUCUGGGUGAAAAGAAAUAUAGAUAAAGAAAAUUAUAUGCAAUUAUAUAUGCUAUAUAUUUAUUUCUAUUAUGUAUUUAUAAUUAUAUAGUCACAUAUAAGAAUUUGUUAACAUGAUAAAAUACGUGUAUAUUUAUCCCUCCACCUAAUUUUUGACCUUAAAUUUACAUUGUUUGGUCACAAAGGAAACCUCAAAUGACCCCCAGGAAGUGUGUCAACUGGGAAACUGAAUUUGCCCCAGGAGUGUCCCCUUGCUCAAGCACAAGGCUUCGUCUCUUAAUAUCUUAUCUAAGUCCCAAGUGACUGUCAAUGCUGACCAAGGACAGGAAGUUCUUAUGACUCUGGUCUGCUGAGCUCUGAGCUUGGAAAGGGGAGAAAGUGCUCAAGGCGAGAGGUCACCUGCCUCGGAUGUGCAGGAACCUUAGGAAAUUCUGCUGCGUCGGGAGGCGCCUUGGGCACCCGAUGCGCGGACGACAGACGUGUGUUCCUGCUUCCAAGAAGCUUCAACCAUCCAGAGAGGGAGACGAAGUCAGCGCGGAAGCUUUGCUGGGGCAGGAGCCAGUCCAGACUGAGAGCUAACCCUGUCCCCUCCUUCAGGGCUCUGUGACCAGAGGCAAGUUAUUUAACCUUGGUGACCCACGGCCUUCUAUCUCAGAAAUGGGAAGAUGCCAUUUUCACAGGGUUGUUGUAAGGAUUAAAUGAGAUUUCUCCAAACCUCAGGUAUUGGCAUCUCCCCUUUAAAAUGUUUGCUUCAUCUCCCUGCAACGUGGGCAAUCAGUUCAUUCACAUCGCCACCCACUUUCGCUUCCUCCUAAGUGGCAGUAUCUGUGAAAUCUCGG